rnacentral:lncRNA from 1 species
AGUGGAGCAACUACUUACCCACAACAAAUAUCAUCCGAUACUCAAAUGAGGAAGUUCCCCGCUGAAUUUCAAAUUAUAAAUGAUUUGGAAAAUGAUGCUGUAGCCCCUAUUGAAAACUGGCAUAGACAAGUACUGAUCUGCAUUAAUAUCACGGUACAGAAAUCAGCGAACCAAAAACGUAUAAUGCAGCACUGAUUUGAAUAAUUCUUUUAGACUAAGAGAAAUUUGAUAAGAAGGAAAACGGUACAGGACACCCGAAUAUCGGCUGGGUAGAUAUGAUCGCUCGGACUUCCGUAACCGAGAUAGGACGCCCGAAUAUCCACGGCGUAGAUAUGAGCAUGCCGACACACAUUGCAGACAAAACAUUCCAUACCGCAGGGCAUACACAGGUAGUCCCAAACGGGUUACAUUUAUCACCAAAUAUUCUAGUUCAGGAAACUAAAGUCAGCUGGAAAUGUGGGUCAAUAUUCGGCUUAUGCAAGUGGAAAUACUAGUGAUAUGCAAAGACCCCUCAGUUGUCAUCAGCAGGAAGGAAAUUCAGUUACAGACGAAUAAAGUGUUAUCUUAAUUACAAUAUAUCACGCUUAUAUUGUCAAAUUAAGAUACAAAAUUAAGAACCCAAUAGUGCCAAAAAAGAUAUCAUAAAAUGCUACAAAUACCGGAGCGGCUAGGGGAUUCACCCCCACAACCCCAACCAGGGCCCUUCGCAGCCCCUGGCCCCCAGCGUAUGGCUCGGGCCUUCAAUCCCUUCGUUGCGCCACUGAUUCUUUGUAGUUAUUACAAUUAAUUACAAUUUUUGCACCCCACUGCCCGAUGGGAACCUCCCUGAAUACAUGAAACAGGGAAUGAACUAAUACAUUUACUGCAAACGACUUGUGCACAUGCCUCUUAAAUGUAAUAAAAUCAAACAGAGUAGGCAUUAAAGGGUUUUUUUUCCCCAUGCGUGGAAGUACGACUACAAGACCGUACUUUUUUCUUUAAAGUUUCAUCCAUGUGUUUUCUGUUUAUCCCUACAUCAAAAACUAUAUUAAGCCACUGUUUCAAAAAGUGUAUGUCGUUGGUUGUGGAGAAUAUUGCCAUUGAAAAAUAAGGUGGGUGGCAUUUUGAAUAGGGAAUAACAAUCACCAAAAAAAAAAUGCUAAAUGACUAGUCUUGUUCUUAUGUGAAUUUUCUCAGGUGUUCAUCAGUCAAUGUACCUUGAGUUUUAUAUGAAAAAAAAAAAGAAAAAAAAAAAA